AAUAUUGCGCAAUGGAGGAAACUCUGACGCAGCGACGCCGCGUGAGCGAUGAAGGUUUUCGGAUCGUAAAGCUCUGUCCUUGGGGAAGAAGGUCUUCGGACUUGACGGUACCCAAGAAGAAAGCCCCGGCUAACUACGUGCCAGCAGCCGCGGUAAUACGUAGGGGGCAAGCGUUGUCCGGAAUUAUUGGGCGUAAAGGGUGCGUAGGCGGCCUAUUAAGUUAGAAGUGUAAUACCCGGGCUUAACUCGGGUGCUACUUCUAAAACUAAUAGGCUUGAGUGUGGGAGAGGUAAGUGGAAUUCCUAGUGUAGCGGUGGAAUGCGUAGAUAUUAGGAGGAACACCAGUGGCGAAGGCGGCUUACUGGACCAUAACUGACGCUGAGGCACGAAAGCGUGGGGAGCAAAC
rnacentral:rRNA from 1 species